GGGGAGGUUCGAACUCUCGACCUUCAGAUUAUGAGACUGACGCUCUUCCGACUGAGCUAC
rnacentral:tRNA from 1 species